rnacentral:lncRNA from 1 species
AUUAGGUGCCAAGAAAGGUGAGUUUACGAAAUGAAAGCCGAUAAUCGGGGGGGGCACAGCGAAGGAGAUCGGUCCUCUAAGCCAAGAGGUACAGCUCUUUCCCCUGCCCUAAAGGUGAAAUAAGAUAAUCUUUCACAGACCUGAUCUCGGGGAAAGGAGACAGCCAAAACAAAAGCAACCCCACCCACCAGUGGCUCACAACUGCUCCUCACACACUGCAGUAAGCGCCUGACGGCUUAGCCCCUGUUUACACUCACUACAAUAAUUGCAACACGACGCAUAAUGUUCAAAUUAGUUCUGAAAAAGUAUUUGUUCCACUUGUUUAUAUCCUCUAAAUCCUUGAAUCUUUGGACUCUGCUACGUGGAGGGAACUUGGCCAAGGGAUCUUUUUAAGAAAUACAUCUUAUAAGAGCCUUUCGGAAACAUCCCCAACAAGACAUCAUCAAGGCUGUGUGUGAGGGCUGACUCUCUUCAGGAAUCAACCAACUAGACCGUGGGAGCCCAGGAAGCAAUCGCUGAACACAGCUGACACUUUGAGGUUCUUGAAUGCUUUGCAGUAACCUCAGUGAUAAAAUCUACACCCAACAUCUCUGUCCCUCACAACGUGUGUUCCCAGCAGAAGACAGCAAAAGAAACAGCGUCUUGUAUGGUGUCUCUGGUCGACUUUGCCCUCACUUUGCCAUUCUUAGGUAUCUGAGUUUUCAAGGAGUAGCCCGUCUGUCCUACGCCCUGUUGUUACCACCUAUUUGGCUUAAUGUAUGUCCAAUGGUUGAAGGAAGAAAUCUACCUUUAAAUGCUGCAAAUUAGCCCUUCCCAUGAAACCAGGGCAACAUCACAUAAUAACAUCCAUGAAAUAACAUCUCACUCUAACGGCCAAUAAAUACCAAAUCUAAUCACAUGACUAGUUUGAUUUGUCGGAGAUCGAAGCUGCUUAUUUUUUAAUGAACUUGAAUAUACACGAACUCCUCUGCCUGACAUCACUACCUAGUAAAAGCUUCCGUUCAUCUCACUUUGGUUCCUCCGAAAACCUGAACACAGGCACCAUGAUACACAGAGCUCAAAUGAUAUACUUCUGUGAAUCUAAGAGUUCUAAGAUUAAAUCUG